UCCGGUGCAUGGGAUGACACCCAACCAACUGAGCCACACCGGCCAGGGUGACAGCACAUUUUUAUUAAAUUCAUUCUGCUGGGACCCUCUGGCCAGAUGUCACGUCAGCGCAGGCUGCGUGCUUUCAUCUGUCCCUUUUCACGGGCUGAGCCUCCUGAAAGCGCGUGAGUGUGCAGGGCUGGGGAAGUGACCCCCCUCUUCCCAUCAAGUCUCGCAGCUCAGCCUGGCAGGCUGCGGGCAGAUGAAACCAGCCCAUACGUGUCCGCCCGCCUGUGCCAACCCGCGGAUGUUUCUGGCCGUGCGGACUCACCUUUGCUCCGCUUCCGAGUUCCGCAGAGUGAAGCAGGUUGCCCGGGAGCCGCUGUCGGGCAGGAGGCCUUUGUUUGCAAGUUGGGUAACUAGUUAGUUAAGUCUGUGAUUAACUCNAACUUUUUAAAUGAAAUUUUAAAAAUAGCCUUGAUUGGGGUGAUUCAGAUCUCACUGCAAAUGUGGCAUUUUUUUUGGUCAUUGACGAGCAAUAAGAGAAUUACCGGAUGAAAUCCUAGCAGCCACUUCUCUUGUGAUUAGUGUCCCUGAGAGGGUGCCGGGUAGGACUUGUUUUUUUCUGUCCUGCUCAGGCCCUUGCAUUUAAGCCAUGAGGAGGUGUUCGCCUACCUGGUUAUUUUCAACACUCUAAGUUAUUAGCCGAAUGGAACUGUAAUGGGGCUGUACUUAUAGGCACCUAGAAGCGCAAGCAGUUGGUAGACCAGGCCGGAUGCGGUUGUUGUGAAAGUUGGAGCAAAUAGCCCUUCCCGAGCUCCCUGGACGACUCCCCGACUUCAGCUGAGUGAGGGGAGCCGAGUUCUGGCCCGAUGCCAGACCCCGGAGCCAGCCUCCGGGCCUCUCCCUCGCCUCCUGUUGCCCUUUAGUUUCUUGCUCCCCACGGCCACUGUCCCUUCUCGGGGCCAUUCAGAAGGUGCCCGGGUGGUCUGCGGAGGGCCAGUCGCCUCCCUGGCCAGCGUCAGGAUUCUCCGUCUCUGUCUCUGCUGUUGUUUCCCCACCUGUCACUGUAAAGAGUGAUUUACUCAUCUCUCGCCAUGAGGGGAGGGGAGAUCAUUUAGUCUUGUCCCCGUCAUUGCCUGUCCCCAGCCAGCGCAGGACUUUCAUUGCUCUGUGCUUAAUGCUGGAGUGAAAACCUCUUUCAGCUGAGUCCUGAGGUUCUGCCCUUGAGUCCUGGGUGGCUGAAGGGAUUGUCACAGAGUUCUGAUCACCUCCAAGGGCUGCCAUCACCUUGUUUCCGUGGGCUUGGGUCAUAUUUACAAAAGGAAAAACAGAAAUGUUAGGACUUGCGAGAAUUCUCUGGCAUCCACGAUCUUUUGCAGGCUUCUUUUUGUGCCAUUUCCCACACGCGUGGAAGUGGGAGCCGUGGUGGCUGUUGGUACUCUUGCAAAGAACAUGUGCGAGACUUGACCCCAAACCAUUGUUGCUGCAUGCACUUGUUAAUAAAACACUGUCUGCCAGGAAACCAAGUUUCUUGUAUUCUCCUUUGUGCCAUGCAUAGUCCUAAUUUCCCAGUUAUUAUUUGAAGUAACUUUUAACAGCAAUAGAGAAAAAAAAUGAGUAAAAUAUAUUAGCUAUCUAUUGUUCUGAGCCAGAAUGGGGCAGAUGUGGGACAUUUCCAGAGUAUGCAAAUUUCAACUGUGCAGGGAAAAUUAUUUUCCUCGGUGUCUUUUCUUUUACUAUAAAAUUAUCCAAAAAUUUACUCUUACUGUAAAAUUAUGCAAAUAUUGUUGCUAUAAAAUUAUUUCAAAUUUUACUGUUACUAUAAAAUGAUUCAAAAUAUGACAAUAAAACAGCAUCAAUUUGUAGAUUAAAGUUUCUCUCCAACAUGAAA